rnacentral:rRNA from 1 species
CAGUAGCCACGGGAAUACGAAGGGGGCUAGCGUUGCUCGGAAUUACUGGGCGUAAAGGGAGCGUAGGCGGAUCGUUAAGUUGGGGGUGAAAGCCCGGGGCUCAACCUCGGAACUGCCUUCAAUACUGGCGAUCUUGAGUAUGAGAGAGGUGAGUGGAACUCCGAGUGUAGAGGUGAAAUUCGUAGAUAUUCGGAAGAACACCAGUGGCGAAGGCGACUCACUGGCUCAUUACUGACGCUGAGGCUCGAAAGCGUGGGGAGCAAACAGGAUUAGAUACCCCAGUAGUCCCUGUCUCUUAUAA